rnacentral:rRNA from 1 species
GACGAACGCUGGCGGCGUGCCUAAUACAUGCAAGUCGAGCGGAACUGGGGGAGCUUGCUCCUUCCAGUUUAGCGGCGGACGGGUGAGUAACACGUGGGCAACCUGCCCUGCAGAUCGGGAUAACUCCGGGAAACCGGUGCUAAUACCGAAUAGUUUGGCGCCUCUCCUGAGGCGCUACGGAAAGACGGUUUCGGCUGUCACUGCAGGAUGGGCCCGCGGCGCAUUAGCUAGUUGGUGGGGUAACGGCCCACCAAGGCGACGAUGCGUAGCCGACUUGGGAGGGUGACCGGCCACACUGGGACUGAGACACGGCCCAGACUCCUACGGGAGGCAGCAGUAGGGAAUCUUCCGCAAUGGACGCAAGUCUGACGGAGCAACGCCGCGUGAGCGACGAAGGUUUUCGGAUCGUAAAACUCUGUUGUGAGGGAAGAACACGUACCAACUAACUAUUGGUACCUUGACGGUACCUCACCAGAAAGCCACGGCUAACUACGUGCCAGCCGCCGCCGUAA